GAAUGCCCCCGUCGCUGGAGUUCCCUCCGUCUUUGUUGCCCUUAGCUUUCUCUAGCUCCCUGCUCAAGCUCCUAGCGCCAUCCGCCCAGUCUUGAGGAGUUCAUUUCCCAGUUCCUCCUCAGUUCAUCCAAGUCACCAGCAGCGUGCUCCCUUGUGCUGCGUAGAGCUCUCUUGUGAUCCGCAAGAAGCAGCGCCGCCGUCGGAGUAUCGCCAAUCUUAGUCCCCGCUCGAAGCUUUA
rnacentral:lncRNA from 1 species